CGAUCGGUUCGCAACUUAAUUAGUUAGCCUAGACCUAGAGAAGCCAUACAGCUUAUGCAGUAUAAAUACACGAGUAAUGGUCGCAGCCUAUCUCAUCAAUACGGCUGAUACAUUCACGGAUAGUAGCGGAUACCACACCUUUCCUUAGCUUCGUAAGGCUUAACUAGCGAUGGAGUACUCGCCGAAGAUAGCAGCACUGCUGCUCUUAGCUCUCGCGUCCGCCAUGGUGGUCGUCACGGCGCAGAACUCGCCGCAGGACUUCGUGGACCCCCACAACGCUGCGCGCGCCGACAUGGGCGUCGGGCCGGUGACCUGGGACGACAACGUGGCUGCGUACGCGCAGAACUACGCGGAGCAGCGCCGCGGCGACUGCCAGCUGGUACAUUCGGGCGGGCAGUACGGGGAGAACAUCUACGGAGGCCGCGGCGGCGGGGCCGACUGGACGGCGGCGGACGCCGUGCAAGCGUGGGUCUCGGAGAAGCAGUACUACGACCACGGCAGCAACAGCUGCUCGGCGCCGGCGGACAAGUCGUGCUUGCACUACACGCAGGUGGUGUGGCGCGACUCGACGGCCAUCGGCUGCGCCCGCGUCGUCUGCGACGGCGGCGACGGCCUGUUCAUCAUCUGCAGCUACAACCCGCCGGGCAACUACGAGGGGGUGAGCCCAUACUAGGCUAUGCAUGCGUGCGUGCGUGCGUGCAUGUACGUAGCAGCGCAUAUAUUGCAUAAAGAAUAAAGUUGAGAUCACAAUCGUGGUAAGAUUGUGACACUUUAGACCGGCUAGAUUCACGCUAUAGUUUAGACCGGCUAAUGGGAUAAUGUGUUACGAUUCAUGUAAGCUGUAUGCUUGCACGUGCUUGAUAUGCAGUGCUUAAUUGUAUGAAUGGAAAUACAGUUUUAUUAUCAGGGGUGAAGCUAGAACGUGUGCCACAUCGCGACGCUACCCUGCACCAACGGAUCAAAUGGUGAUGUGCCAUGCUUGAGGUCAUGGCUAACGUGGUGUCAGUCGGUAUGGCCGUCGUGUCACAGUUAUCUCCCAAGUACAAAAAUUGGGUAUAAUUGUUAAGAUACAAUUAUGGAUUACAUGCACCAAUUUGGAUACAGGAACGGGGAUCGAGAGGAACACUGCACCCACUCGAGUCCAGCCACCUUGGCGUUGAGCUUGUGGUGCCUCACAUGACGCUGGCCUGGCGUGAGACGGAUCGGCUCGGAGACAGGUGUGGUCGCCGUGUCAGGUCUUCCUGCGAUGCUGCUGUCUGGUGGUGAACUACUGCACUCGGGAACAAGUUGAUCCAAGCUGGGCUGGCAAGCGCAGCAACCUUUUUUUUGAAUAGCCACCUUCUGCCGAUGAAACCCAGAUCAGCCAAGGUGCACACGUCAACGAACCAUGAUAACUUCGACUGCGUCCUGAGUGCUCGUCAACGUGCAAGACUUUGUUGAAGUCACCAAUGCAGAGCCAUGGGAGAGGACUAGCCGACACAAGGGACUUGAGAAGGUCCCAAGACUGAUAUCUCUCGUUCAUCUGCGCCUCCCCAUUUACGCAAGCCAGCCUCCAUUCAUCUUGACCGGGUUUUGAGAUAGUGGCAUCAAUAUGACACUUACAGUAGCCAAAAACUUCAAUGUAUAUUUCAGUGUUUCAAAAACUACCAAGGCCUCCACUAUGGCCCAAGCCUCCCGGCGACAGACCUCCACUUCGC
rnacentral:rRNA from 1 species